CAAGCACGGAUCAGGAGAACCAGGGAGAAGAGUGGGUGCUGCAUGUAUCCCUAAUAAGACUGAAGGUAUGAGCUUGAGAUACAUUACAAGGACUGGAAACUCCCAUCUUCUCAUUCUCUGUCAUCAGACCUCCUAACAUCAAAGAAAGGGGAAGGAGGUACCAUUUGGCUUGGAUGGUGAACAUCGGUGAGCCCUGACUGCUGAAGGAUGCCGAUUUCUGUCGGCAGUGA